rnacentral:rRNA from 1 species
AGUCUGGCCUGCCCAAUGAUUUUUGAAUGGCCGCAGUAUUUUGACUGUGCAAAGGUAGCAUAAUCAUUAGUUUUUUAAUUGAAAGCUGGAAUGAAAGGUUUGAUGAGAAAAUAACUGUCUCUGUAUAAAUGAUUUAGAACUUCAAUUUUAAGUGAAAAAGCUUAAAUUUUUUAUAAAGACGAGAAGACCCUAUAGAGUUUUAUAUUUGUUUUAAUUUGAGGAUUAUGGUAAUAAUUUUUUUAUUUUAAUUUAAGUAUUUUGUUGGGGCGACGGAAAAAUUAAAUUAACUUUUUUUUGUAUUUAACAUUGAUUUAUGAUUAUUUGAUCCUUUAUUUUGGAUUAUAAGAUUAAAUUACCUUAGGGAUAACAGCGUAAUUUUUUUUGGAGAGUUCUUAUCGAUAAAAAAGUUUGCGACCUCGAUGUUGGAUUAAAAUUUAUUUUUGGUGUAGAAGCUAAAAUAUUAGGUCUGUUCGACCUUUAAAAUUUU